rnacentral:lncRNA from 1 species
UUUACAUCCAAUGUUAGUAUUGAAAUGGGAGGUACAAUUGCAUUCAUCAUGCUCUUUGUUGCCUAUAUGCUUUGGUGUUUUUGUUUUGUUUUUGCUUUUUAACUUGUAUUUUUGUUUUAUAGGUCCUGUGAGAUUUAUGCUUUAAAGAGGUUCUGUUUUGAUGUGUCUCCAGGAUUUUUUUCAAGAUUUAGAGCUCCUUUUAGCAGUUCUUGUAGUAGUGAUUUUGUAGUGGCGAAUUUUCUCAGCAUUUGUUUGUUUGAAAAAGACUGUAUCUUUCCUUCAUAUAUGAUGCUUAGUUUCACUGGAUACAAAAUCCUGGGCUGUUAAUUGUUUUGUAUGAGGAGGCUGAAGAUACAGCCCCAGUCUCUUCUAGCUUGUAGGGUUUCUGCUGAGAAAUCUGCCGUUAAUCUGAUAAAUUUUCCUUUAUAGGUUACCUGGUGCUUCUGUCUCACAGCUCUUCAGAUUCUUGCCUUUGUCUUAACUUUGGAUAACUUGAUGACAAUGUGCCUAGCUGAUGAUCUUUUUGUGAUGAAUUUCCCAGGUGUUCUUUGUGCUUCUUGUAUUUGGAUGUCUAGGUCUCUAGCAAGGCCAGGGAAGUUUUCCUCGAUUAUUCCCCCAGAUAUGUUUUCCAAACUUUCAGAAUUAUCUUCUUCCUCAGGAACGCCAAUUAGUCUUAGGUUUGGUCGCUUAACAUGAUCCCAGACUUCUUGGAGACUUCGUUCAUAUUUUCUCUUUUUUUUUUUUUUUUGUCUUUGUUGGAUUAAUUCAAAGACCUUGUCUUCAAGCUCUGAAUUUCUUUCUUCUACUUGUUCAUUUCUAUUGCUGAGACUUUCCAGAGCAUUUUACAUUUCUAAAAGUGUGUCCAAAGUUUCCUGAAUUUUUUAUUUUUUCUGUAAGCCAUCUAUUUCCUUGAAUGUUUCUCCUUUCACUUCUUGUAUCGUUUCUUGGGUUUCCUUGCAUUGGGCUUCACCUUCCUCUGGUGCCUCCCUGAUUAGCUUAAUAACUAACCUCCUGAAUUCUUUUUCAGGUAAAUCAGGGAUUUCUUUUUGGUUUGGAUCCAUUGCAGGUGAACUAGUGUGAUUUUGGAGGGUGUUGAAGAGCCUCAUUUUGCAUAUUACCAGGAUUGGUUUUCUGGUUCUUUCUCACGUGGGUAGCCUCUGUCAGAGGGAAGGUCUAGGGCUGAAGGCUGCUGUUCAGAUUCUUUUGUCCUAUAAGGUAUUCCUUUGAUGUAGUACUCUUCCCCUUUUCCUAUGGAUGUGGCUUCCAGUGAACUGAGCUACAGUGAUUGUUAUCUGUCUUCUGGGUCUAGCCACUCAGCAGGUCUAUCCGGCUCCGGGCUGGUACUGGGGGUUGUCUGCACAGAAUCCUGUAGUAUGAACCGUUUAUGUGUCUCUCAGCCAUACCACUGCCUGUUUCAGUGGAUUUGGCAAUGUCGGGGGUCGGGGGGGGGCGGGCGGCGCAAUGAACUCCGUGAGGGUUCUUAGCUUUGGUGGUUUAAUGCUCAGUUUUUGUGCUAGUUGGCCUCCUGAUAGGAGGUGGCACUUUCUAGAAAGCAUCAGCUGUAGUAGUGUGGAAAGGGAUCAGCAGUGGACAGGGCCCUAGAACUCCCAACAUUAUAUGUCCUUUGUCUUCAGCUACCAGGGUGGGUAGUGAAGGACCAUCAGGUGGGGGCGGGGUAGGCAUGUCUGAGCUCAGACUCUCCUUGGGCGGGUCUUGCUGCAGCUGCUGUAGGGGAUGGGGGUGAAAUUCCCAGGUCACUGGAGUUGUGUACCUAGGAGGAUUAUGGCUGCCUCUGCUGAGUCAUGCAGGUUGUCAGGGAAGUGGGGAAAAGCCAGCAGUCACUGUCCUCACCCAGCUCCCAUGCAAACCGAAGGGCCGGUCUCACUCCCACUGUGCCCCCGAGUCCCCAACAACCCCUAGUCUGUUUCCAGGUGGUGGGCGAGAGGGGCUUGAAAACUUGCCCCAGGCUACCCAACUCCCAGCUGUGAAAGAAAAGGGCUUGGUUCUUCCCCUUCUGUGGAGUCUGCACACUGGGUUUGUACCCUCCCCCAAGUUCUGGCCAGGAGGCUUCUCACCCUAUUCAAAUUGUUACAAAGUUCAGCUAGAGCCUUCCUUCUCCCUGUGAAGUUUUGCUCCCUGCUCCUCUGGCCACCCUCCUGAUGGAACCCUGUGGUGCCAGCAGGAAUGACCUGCUUGGGGACCCAGCAAGCUCCUAGGGCCUUUCUGCUGCUUCCUCUACCCCUGUAUUUCACUCGGCUCUCUAAACUGACUCAGCUCCAGGCAAAGAUUCUCUCCAUGAUGAAACCCUAGCCAGGUUCCUCUGAGCACCCUUUUCAAUGAGGCCUCAACCUGAGCCCAUGAAGACUGGAAAACACUAACAUAGUUUCCAACAACUCAAGCUUACAUCCCUAAAAUGACCCUAUCCCCCUUUAAAGUUCCUGCCUGAGAAAACUCAAAGCUGCCCCCCCAAUUUUCUGUUUGUUCCAGCCAUCAGCUGAGGAUAGGGCCUCUGUCUCCCAGUCUCCAUGGAAGGAUCGCAUUGUCACGUCCAUAAUUGCCAGCCAGCAGACACAGCUGGCCUGGUUGCAUUUACACCAACUGAACCUUUGUACUUCCACUUCCUUGACUCCACUGAGCCCCCACUCACCCCUUCCCCACUCCCUCAUUCUCCCUUUAAAACUCCCAGUCACCUCUGUACAAAUCCAAGUUGUACAUGUUGGAUUUCAGUUCACACUGGACUCAUUUUCCUAUUGCCAUAGUUAUUACUGAUUAAAACCUGUCUUUACCACUUUAACU